ensembl:lncRNA
GUUGCAUACAUUUCUUUUUGACUCUACUGUGUCAAAAAUUCCAUGAUGACACAGAAUCUGAUUAUAUAUCACAUUUUACCUCCCUUCUGAAACUCAUUUUUAAGGUAGUGAAAGAGAGUAGGAGGAGAAUGAGAAUGCUUUUCUACUCAAGACGUCUGAAGUAAAUACAUAUUGUUCCUUCUGUUGUCCCAACACAAAUAGACUGAAAAAACUGCUCUGUACCAUAUCAGAAAGUUGGUAUCUAUGCCGUUACACUACUGGAACAAGAAGAGGCUGUAGUUAGAGAUACAGCUGCGGACAUUUGACCUUAAAGAUGAACAAGAUGGAAGAAGUUGAUUAGAAACCUGAAGGCAGGAACUCAUUCUAGAUAUACAAGUGCAUGCAGUAUGGACAUAUCAAAGGGAAUUAAUCUAUACAGAUACAGAUAAAAGAAGCAGGAACAACUGUAUAUAGGCAAUGGAUAAGAGAAGAGAGAAGACAAAAGGCAAGAAAGAAGUCAAAUACAAAUAAAAGAGAAUAUGAAAAGACUAUUGUAUUAUGUUAAUGCUAUGUGAAAUUAAAGUACUUUAAGAUCUUCGGAUGUAAGAUACUAUUUACAGUGAGAAGUUCUUGCUUGGGUGCAGGAGAGGAGCACAGAUGCCAGUCAGAGUCUGUGAGGACACCCACCUCUGCCCCUUGGUUUGGAAGGGAGCUGCACUGGAGCUCAACAAAGGCCCCACAUUCAGAUUGGCAGCGUGUUCAGAUUGGAUUUCCUAUCUACAGCUGCUCCACACUCCAUUUGCACCAUGUCCAAACAUCUGGCUUUAAUCUAUUAGAAGGCACCAUAACAAACCACCUCUGGCACCUCAUCUUCAAUCAAAAGAGGAAUGACUAUUCUCCAGAGUACCCAGCUCCACAUUGUUAACAUUCUGUCCCUGCCUAUCUUCACCUCACCUUACCUUAUUUUUUGUUUGUAUGAAGAAGUCUUUCCUCCUUUUGUAUUUUCUUUUAAUGGAAAUAAAAAUAAGAAAAUAAAAAAAAUCUAAAACUGAAUUCCUAAUUUUUCCAUCAGAGGUAGAAAGAGCAACUGUGUUUUUUCACCCUCUUUUAGAGGCCACUUUUAAAGCUAUAAAAAUAUUCUGUGUGGAUUGGACCAAACUAUGUUCUGGAGUAAACUAUCAAAGAUCAGCAGAGCUGCAUGGCAUUUCAGAUAGAAAGUUCAUGAACCUGUGUUCAAUUUGUAUGUUGUUUACCUGAUUUUUCUUUUCUUUUUUUUCUGAAUCCAUGCUUCAAUAUGUUAAUACAAAGUUCUGACUGUGAAGAACAAUGAAUAAUGACCAUGAUCAAUUACUGUUAUUUAUUACUAUCAGCACUAUUUUUUUACAUUGAUCCACAGAUCCCGCAAGAGUGAAAGAAAAAGAACUAACUUCUUCCUAAAAAGUAGUUACACUUUAAUCAAAGCAUUAACCACAAGUCACUAAUAAACUGAAAAUUCAACAUGAAAAUGCAGGAAUAGUCCCACCCCCCCUGCCCCCCCAAAUUUUAAAGACAAC